UACAUUCAUUCAUUAAUAAAUUAUCAUUAUAACCGCCAAGCUUCUAUGACAGUUAAUUUCUUUUAUUGUUGCCGCAUUAGACAACGCAUCCCUUUUGAUUUGUUUAUUAACGGAUGGUUUUCUGUAUAACAAAAUAAGAACGAUUAAAUAACGCAACGUUAAAGGAACAACAAAGUACUUACAAACUGUUUGCGGCUAUUAAUAUGAUACCAUCAUUUUGGAUUUAAUAACUUAUACAUCUGGAAUAGGAAAGAAUAAUUGGUGAAACGAUAAACUUAAAGCGAAUAUAUAAAGCUGGCUGUAAACUAAACGUGCAUACUAAACUUAAAGUCAAUGCAACUACAACUAAAGGACGUAUAGGAAACCAAGGAAGUAAGCCAAACCCGAGUGAUGCGGGCGGCGCUGAUUGGCUAGACGUUAGAGCACAUAAACUUAAAGGCACAUAAACUAAAACUUAAACGCACGAACGCAAAUACAGCACGCUUCAUUGAACUUAUAUACGAUUAACGGUAAAUCAAAUGCGGGU